AACCAUUCUCACCUGCGGCUAGACCUGCGGAAGGAUCAUUAACAAACGUUCAAAGCGACCCUUCCAGUGCUGGUGGGAACACAUGUGCACGUUUGGGUUGCAAAUCCACACAACCUGUGCAUAUCUGACUCUGAGUACAUCACCCUCAUGUCAGGGAGCUUGAUAUAUGUGUCAAGCUUUGUGCUCGAGUAUUUUUCACACGCAGAAUGUAAAGGAAUGUAUGUGCGCAUAAUGUGCAAA
rnacentral:misc_RNA from 1 species